UACGGAGGGUGCAAGCGUUAUCCGGAUUCACUGGGCUUAAAGGGUGCGUAGGCGGGCUUGUAAGUCAGUGGUGAAAGCCCGGAGCUUAACUCCGGAAUUGCCGUUGAUACUGCAAGUCUUGAGUACAGUUGAGGUGGGCGGAAUACAUCAUGUAGUAGUGAAAUACUUAGAUAUGAUGUAGAACACCGAUUGCGAAGGCAGCUCACUAAAGUGUAACUGACGCUGAGGCACGAAAGCGUGGGGAUCAAACAGG
rnacentral:rRNA from 1 species